CCCGCCUGGCUUCCGGUGCCACAGUGAGCGGCUCCUCCCGGAACUCAAAAGUCCUAAUUCAGGAUAGUGGCUGUUGCAGUGGUGGUGGGGCUUUGUGAGAUUCCUUGGGUCGGGCCCCCAAUCAGGUAGGUGCUAGUUUAACUUGUGGCUUCCUCCCGGGGUCAGCCGUGCGUCGAUUAUCGCUUCUGCAGGUCCCUUACCUUUCUAGGAAGUAAAAUACUGCCACCCUGGGACUGUGAGUCUUAAGUGCCUGCACUCAAGGGAAAGUUAAAUGGGGUGUAUGGGAGAAAAAUCACAUGUCGUUAACAGGCACAUAGCUAACAAGAAGGAAAAAAAUGCAACGGAAGAUGGCGAGAGAACCAGCUGGUACUGGGUGAGAAUCGCUUUCUCUUUCAAACGUCACUUCGUGUAGCAUUUGAAGAGAUUCUGAAGAGGAAAUGGAUUGGAUUUCUAAAUAUGAGAUUAAUUGAGCAUGCACUCAAUUUUUCCUUGGAACCAGCUUGCCAUCAGUGAACACAGCAGACAAAAAUCACUGAGUUCUACUGCACUUCUUCUGUUCUAGUAGAGAAGUUUAAAUUUUAUAUUGUUGGUAUUGUUGAUAUUUAAUAUGUAUCAUCCUAUAUCAGCAAACAAAAGUGAUACUGGUAUUGUGCCUAAUCUUACAAACACUGCAAAAUCAUGUUUGCUUUUUAAUAGCCUUAACUCUGGUAAUAAAAUAAUUGCUAAAUUAAGAUGAGAACAGAACAGUCUAGUACUGUAAGCUGGUGAAAGUAUCCUGGAAGGCAAUAAGCAACAGCUAUCAAUUUAAAUGUAUAAACUGUAUAACUUUGCAGGUUCUGGGGAUUUUGUCUAAGGAAUAAGUGAAAUAGUUAUGCAAAGGUGUUAGGUAUUAAAAAUAUAGAUAUUUAUCAAGCCCUAUAUAUAACAUGGAACACAUGGAAAUUAUUUACAUGUAAGGCAAUGAACAUUGGACAUUUCCAAAUUUGGAGUUAGGUCAAUAAAGGCAAUGCUAUAUAGCCAUUAUAAGUAAUAAUGUAGAUUUUGACAUGGAAAGAUACCUGCUAGGUGAAAAAAAAGAUCAUAAAAUGUCAUAUGUUAGGUAAUUCUGUCUUGAUUAGAUAAAAUUAGAAAUAAGCGUGUUAGAGUAUACAUACAUGUUACAUGAAUUGAAAAUAUUAAUAGACAAAAAAUUCAUUCAAA